GUGCACAGGUCGCUUGAGGCCAGAGUUGGAGACCAUCCUGGGUAACAUAGUGAGACCUCAUCUCUUCAAAAUUUUAAAAGAGAAACAAGAAACAAUAUAUUGAAUGCCUUCAUCCAGUCAGGUUUUCAUUGUGCAUCUCUUCUGUGCCUGUUACUGUGCUGGGGACACAGCAGUGAACAAGAUGAACCCAGCCCCUGCCCUGCCAGGAUGAUAGACUAAAACAAGUAGCUACGGUUGAGUGACUGGAAAAGGGAGAGGCAGGGAGCAGAGGAUCACAGGGCCCCCUAAGCAUGGGUGAAGUUUACAGUGAGGAGCUUUGGGAGGGUUUUUGCAUGAAAGGAAAGUGACUUGCCCAUUUCCACAGACCUGGACAGUGGCCAAGCUAAAGAGGGCCCCCACUCACAUCCGACUCAGGGUCCAAGCCUUCCCCUUUGCCUUCCUCCACCGCUGCCAUAAAUGCCACAGCCUCUCAAGAAACCAGUCCUCACUCUACCGUCACUCGCUGUGUGACCUGGAGAGCCUUCCUGUGGAAGAUGGAGGUUGGACUCGAUCUCCAAGGGCCCUUUCGUCUUGCUAGUCUGAGUCUAUAUAUUGAUUGAAAAAACAAUAAUAGCGGCUGUCACAAUCGAGUGCCAGCUAUUAGCCAGGCCCUGUGGGAAGCACUUACAGUCAUCAUUGCUCAUGUUCACAGCAGCCCUGUAGGUUUGUGCUAUAUUGAUCUUCAUUUUUAAAGAGGUGCAGAAAGGUGAGUGACUUGCCCUGGGUUACUGGGCACUCACUGGGCACACGUCUUUGUCUGUUGAGGGUUGGGGGUGUCUAGAACCAGGGCCAAGUGCAGACAGUCUGCACUGUGAGUGUGGCAGGGGGUAAGGGGGCGAGACAGAUUUUCCCUACUUUUUAUUUAGCAAACAUCUCUUUCGCUGCUGUUAUGUGCCAGGUACUGGGCUGCUGGGGGAUCCCAAGUGAGCAGAGUCUGUUUUCUACCCUCGAGGAGCCCAGAGAUAAGGAAAUAGAUAAUUACUGUGUGAUGAGACUCCAGACAGAGGCUAGGAGUGGGUUCUGGGCGCCUAAUAGGUUCCCAGUAAACAUCUGUCGAAUGACUGCGGUGGACGGGGACAGGGGAGGAAGCAGUCGGGAGACGUGCCGGUGCCACUUCCAUCCCUCCCUGGAGGCCCUUGUGCUUCUGCUCCAGGAUUGGCAACCAGGAGGUGGGAUAGGACCCCUGUUGUAAACUUCUGGAUCUUGGA
rnacentral:lncRNA from 1 species